ACGGCAACGCUCUUUGGUAAGCGUUAGACAGAUCAAGCCACGGCCAUAACGGGCCAUAAAGUUAAUCGCUUCCGGAGUGAUCUUGUCAGCAGCGAUAAUGA
rnacentral:antisense_RNA from 1 species